CGAGCCCGUAGCGGGAGACGGUGCCGUAGGUCGGCUUCACCCCGACCGUCGCGGUCACGGCCGCGGGCUGCCGGAUCGAACCGCCGGUGUCGG
rnacentral:tRNA from 1 species